GGGAGUAGCUGCUCCACAUACAGUCCCUCUUUUUUUCCCUUAAAAACCUUUACAAAUGACACUCUCCUUGUUUUGUUUUUCCCGUGUUCCCCAGCAGCAACGCUUUGGAGUUUCAUUCCAAGUAACAUGCUCCGGGCCAGACAAACGCUUUUCAUCCAGGGCUGUGGAUUUAGCUUCAGCCUUCAGAGGGCAGCCCAGGGCAGCAGACAGCACUCUGAAACUUCCUCUUGGGCUGGAAUCUGGCUCCCGGGCUGACCUCCUCCAGAUGCUCCACAAGCAGGAAAAA
rnacentral:lncRNA from 12 species